rnacentral:rRNA from 1 species
AGCGUACACGGUGGAUGCCCUGGCAGUCAGAGGCGAUGAAGGGCGUGCUAAUCUGCGAUAAGCGCCGGUAAGGUGAUAUGAACCGUUAUAACCGGCGAUACCCGAAUGGGGAAACCCAGUGUGAUUCGUCACACUAUCAUUAACUGAAUCCAUAGGUUAAUGAGGCGAACCGGGGGAACUGAAACAUCUAAGUACCCCGAGGAAAAGAAAUCAACCGAGAUUCCCCCAGUAGCGGCGAGCGAACGGGGAGGAGCCCAGAGCCUGAAUCAGCAUGUGUGUUAGUGGAAGCGUCUGGAAAGGCGCGCGAUACAGGGUGACAGCCCCGUACACAAAAGCGCAUGUGCUGUGAGCUCGAUGAGUAGGGCGGGACACGUGGUAUCCUGUCUGAAUAUGGGGGGACCAUCCUCCAAGGCUAAAUACUCCUGACUGACCGAUAGUGAACCAGUACCGUGAGGGAAAGGCGAAAAGAACCCCGGCGAGGGGAGUGAAAAAGAACCUGAAACCGUGUACGUACAAGCAGUGGGAGCACCCUUUUGGGUGUGACUGCGUACCUUUUGUAUAAUGGGUCAGCGACUUAUAUUCUGUAGCAAGGUUAACCGAAUAGGGGAGCCGGAGGGAAACCGAGUCUUAAUUGGGCGUUAAGUUGCAGGGUAUAGACCCGAAACCCGGUGAUCUAGCCAUGGGCAGGUUGAAGGUUGGGUAACACUAACUGGAGGACCGAACCGACUAAUGUUGAAAAAUUAGCGGAUGACCUGUGGCUGGGGGUGAAAGGCCAAUCAAACCGGGAGAUAGCUGGUUCUCCCCGAAAGCUAUUUAGGUAGCGCCUCGUGAAUUCAUCUCCGGGGGUAGAGCACUGUUUCGGCUAGGGGGCCAUCCCGGCUUACCAACCCGAUGCAAACUGCGAAUACCGGAGAAUGUUAUCACGGGAGACACACGGCGGGUGCUAACGUCCGUCGUGAAGAGGGAAACAACCCAGACCGCCAGCUAAGGUCCCAAAGUCAUGGUUAAGUGGGAAACGAUGUGGGAAGGCCCAGACAGCCAGGAUGUUGGCUUAGAAGCAGCCAUCAUUUAAAGAAAGCGUAAUAGCUCACUGGUCGAGUCGGCCUGCGCGGAAGAUGUAACGGGGCUAAACCAUGCACCGAAGCUGCGGCAGCGACGCUGAUGCGUUGUUGGGUAGGGGAGCGUUCUGUAAGCCUGUGAAGGUGGCCUGUGAGGGUUGCUGGAGGUAUCAGAAGUGCGAAUGCUGACAUAAGUAACGAUAAAGCGGGUGAAAAGCCCGCUCGCCGGAAGACCAAGGGUUCCUGUCCAACGUUAAUCGGGGCAGGGUGAGUCGACCCCUAAGGCGAGGCCGAAAGGCGUAGUCGAUGGGAAACGGGUUAAUAUUCCCGUACUUGGUGUUACUGCGAAGGGGGGACGGAGAAGGCUAUGUUGGCCGGGCGACGGUUGUCCCGGUUUAAGCGUGUAGGUGUGUGUUCCAGGUAAAUCCGGUUCACUUUAACACUGAGGCGUGACGACGAGGCACUACGGUGCUGAAGCAACAAAUGCCCUGCUUCCAGGAAAAGCCUCUAAGCAUCAGGUAACAUCAAAUCGUACCCCAAACCGACACAGGUGGUCAGGUAGAGAAUACCAAGGCGCUUGAGAGAACUCGGGUGAAGGAACUAGGCAAAAUGGUGCCGUAACUUCGGGAGAAGGCACGCUGACACGUAGGUGAAGUGAUUUACUCAUGGAGCUGAAGUCAGUCGAAGAUACCAGCUGGCUGCAACUGUUUAUUAAAAACACAGCACUGUGCAAACACGAAAGUGGACGUAUACGGUGUGACGCCUGCCCGGUGCCGGAAGGUUAAUUGAUGGGGUCAGCGCAAGCGAAGCUCCUGAUCGAAGCCCCGGUAAACGGCGGCCGUAACUAUAACGGUCCUAAGGUAGCGAAAUUCCUUGUCGGGUAAGUUCCGACCUGCACGAAUGGCGUAAUGAUGGCCAGGCUGUCUCCACCCGAGACUCAGUGAAAUUGAACUCGCUGUGAAGAUGCAGUGUACCCGCGGCAAGACGGAAAGACCCCGUGAACCUUUACUAUAGCUUGACACUGAACAUUGAGCCUUGAUGUGUAGGAUAGGUGGGAGGCUUUGAAGUGUGGACGCCAGUCUGCAUGGAGCCGACCUUGAAAUACCACCCUUUAAUGUUUGAUGUUCUAACGUGGACCCGUUACCCGGGUUGCGGACAGUGUCUGGUGGGUAGUUUGACUGGGGCGGUCUCCUCCUAAAGAGUAACGGAGGAGCACGAAGGUUGGCUAAUCCUGGUCGGACAUCAGGAGGUUAGUGCAAUGGCAUAAGCCAGCUUGACUGCGAGCGUGACGGCGCGAGCAGGUGCGAAAGCAGGUCAUAGUGAUCCGGUGGUUCUGAAUGGAAGGGCCAUCGCUCAACGGAUAAAAGGUACUCCGGGGAUAACAGGCUGAUACCGCCCAAGAGUUCAUAUCGACGGCGGUGUUUGGCACCUCGAUGUCGGCUCAUCACAUCCUGGGGCUGAAGUAGGUCCCAAGGGUAUGGCUGUUCGCCAUUUAAAGUGGUACGCGAGCUGGGUUUAGAACGUCGUGAGACAGUUCGGUCCCUAUCUGCCGUGGGCGCUGGAGAACUGAGGGGGGCUGCUCCUAGUACGAGAGGACCGGAGUGGACGCAUCACUGGUGUUCGGGUUGUCAUGCCAAUGGCACUGCCCGGUAGCUAAAUGCGGAAGAGAUAAGUGCUGAAAGCAUCUAAGCACGAAACUUGCCCCGAGAUGAGUUCU